CCCAAGAGAUCGGGAUAACACCUGGAAACAGAUGCUAAUACCGGAUAACAACAGAUGAUGCCUAUCAACUGUUUAAAAGAUGGUUCUGCUAUCACUCUUGGAUGGACCUGCGGUGCAUUAGCUAGUUGGUAGGGUAACGGCCUACCAAGGCGAUGAUGCAUAGCCGAGUUGAGAGACUGAUCGGCCGCAUUGGGACUGAGACACGGCCCAAACUCCUACGGGAGGCAGCAGCA
rnacentral:rRNA from 1 species